GCAGGAAUUAUGAGUGGGAAGAACAGGUGUUCCGAGAGAUUCUACGGUUCUUCAGUUGCUAAGGAAACCACUUUCACCAGUUCAGAAAGGCUGAUAACCUGGACUUUUUCUGCCAAAUUACUAUCAACAAAGGAGUUUUGGAGAGUCAUUGCAUGAUGAUCUCUGAAGAUUCUACUGAAAUCUAAUCAAUAUGUCCUCACUGCCAUCAAUUCAAAAGAACUUGCUAAGAAGGCUCUAGAGACUUGUACUCUCAGAUAGUGAAAGUGAGAUGAUGUGUAGUGAAAGUCAUAUAUAGGUUGUAAAUUGCAAUAUGGAAUUCCCAAAUGCUGAAUUCAUUUUAUCUCUUCAGAAAUAAAAACCUGUUAAAGACUC
ensembl:lincRNA